UGGUGGGAGCAGGGGAAAAGCAAAAACCAAAAGCAGAUAAGCUGUAAGUCUGGCUUUCUUCAUGGUUCGGGACAGAUAGCCGUCCUGCACAGAUAACGCACAAUCUUCUUGCACCUGAAAUCACCAGACCAUCACUUGAUAGAAAAAAAUGCAAGUUAAUGCACUGCAACCUUGGCAUUUUCUGUACUGCAUGUAGCCCUCUCCAGCACAAGCACCAUCCUGUAAAAUCCCCGUUUUUGGCCCAAUAGAAGCAAGGCACCAG
rnacentral:lncRNA from 1 species